rnacentral:rRNA from 1 species
UACAGAGGUCUCAAGCGUUGUUCGGAUUCAUUGGGCGUAAAGGGUGUGUAGGUGGCGCCGUAAGUCGGGUGUGAGAUUUCGGAGCUUAACUCCGAAACUGCAUUCGAUACUGCGGUGCUUGAGGACUGGAGAGGAGACUGGAAUUCAUGGUGUAGCAGUGAAAUGCGUAGAGAUCAUGAGGAAGACCAGUGGCGAAGGCGGGUCUCUGGACAGUUCCUGACACUGAGACACGAAGGCCAGGGGAGCAAACGGG